UGUUGUUUUCGUUGGAAAUGAUGAUGCGGGAAGUUUUGUCUUCAAAUGAGUUAUUAUCAACAAACGAAUAGAUCGUUCGAUUGAAAUUACAGAACAUACACUACUACUGACUGACAGGGAUAUAUCCUGUCGGCAAAGGAGCUGGUCAUGGACCUUUGCCGUCCUUUAUCCAGAGCCUUCCACAGCGAUGGCAGAUAUAUCGCUGCUUGGAUCAACACUUGACCACGCCGUUGAGUCCAGGAUCUCAGUGGCAGCCAUGACAACAUCAACAGAAUGAGAUCCACAUUCAUUUUGCACCUCUUCCUUGUGCUGUCAGAUUGAAACAUCUCUACUCUGACAGAAUGAAGUGAAUGAAUCCCCAGGAUUGUUCCUCAGGAAAAUCUCUUCAACAGGCUGUUGACAGUUUGCAUGCUCUUUGGAUGGAAUUACCUUAGCUUGGCUUGCAGAGAAUCUGUUAUUUAAAAAAACUGGGCUGCUUUGUGUUAUUGAUUUAUUGACCUUAAAUGUAUUUUAUAUGUAUUUUGCCACUAUUGUAAAAAAACAAUGGGCAUAUACACUAGCAUAUGUUUGCAAACAGACACAU